rnacentral:rRNA from 1 species
AGUCUGGUGCCAGCAGCCGCGGUAAUUCCAGCUCCAAUAGCGUAUAUUAAAGUUGUUGCGGUUAAAACGUUCGUAGUUGAACUUGUGCUUCAUACGGGUAGUACAACUUACAAUUGUGGUUAGUACUAUACCUUUAUGUAUGUAAGCGUAUUACCGGUGGAGUUCUUAUAUGUGAUUAAAUACUUGUAUUUUUUCAUAUGUUCCUCCUAUUUAAAAACCUGCACUAGUGCUCUUAAACGAGUGUUAUUGUGGGCCGGUACUAUUACUUUGAACAAAUUAGAGUGCUUAAAGCAGGCUUCAAAUGCCUGAAUAUUCUGUGCAUGGGAUAAUGAAAUAAGACCUCUGUUCUGCUUUCAUUGGUUUUCAGAUCAAGAGGUAAUGAUUAAUAGAAGCAGUUUGGGGGCAUUAGUAUUACGACGCGAGAGGUGAAAUUCUUGGACCGUCGUAAGACUAACUUAAGCGAAAGCAUUUGCCAAAGAUGUUUUCAUUAAUCAAGAACGAAAGUUAGAGGUUCGAAGGCGAUCAGAUACCGCCCUAGUUCUAACCAUAAACGAUGCCAGCUAGCAAUUGGGGUGUAGCUACUUUUAUGGCUCUCUCAGUCGCUUCCCGGGAAACCAAAGCUUUUGGGCUCCGGGGGAAGUAUGGUUGCAAAGCUGAAACUUAAAGGAAUUGACGGAAGGGCACCACCAGGAGUGGAGCCUGCGCUUAAUUUGACUCAACACGGGAAAACUUACCAGGUCCGAACAUAAGUGUGUAAGACAGAUUGAUAGCUCUUUCUCGAAUCUAUGGGUGGUGGUGCAUGGCCGUUCUUAGUUCGUGGAGUGAUUUGUCUGGUUAAUUCCGAUAACGAACGAGACUCAAAUAUAUUAAAUAGAUAUCUUCAGGAUUAUGGUGCUGAAGCUUAUGUAGCCUUCAUUCAUGGUGGCAGUAAAAUGUUUAUUGUGUUUGAAUGUGUUUAUGUAAGUGGAGCCGUACCUGUUGGUUUGUCCCAUUAUAAGGACACUAGCUUCUUAAAUGGACAAAUUGCGUCUAGCAAUAAUGAGAUUGAGCAAUAACAGGUCUGUGAUGCCCUUAGAUGUCCUGGGCUGCACGCGCGCUACAAUGAAAGUAUCAACGUGUAUUUCCUAGACCGAGAGGUCCGGGUAAACCGCUGAACCACUUUCAUGCUUGGGAUUGUGAACUGAAACUGUUCACAUGAACUUGGAAUUCCCAGUAAGUGUGAGUCAUUAACUCGCAUUGAUUACGUCCCUGCCCUUUGUACACACCGCCCGUCGCUACUACCGAUUGAAUUAUUUAGUGAGGUCUCCGGACGUGAUCACUGUGACGCCUUGCGUGUUACGGUUGUUUCGCAAAAGUUGACCGAACUUGAUUAUUUAGAGGAAGUAAAAGUCGUAACAAGGUUUCCGUAGGUGAACCUGCGGAAG